AUUCUUUUCAUUCUCAACUCAACCUGUUGCGAUUGAUAUGAAAGGAGUUCACAACAAUGAAGAAAAGGAUGACGACGAUGAUGAUGAUGGUGAAACCAGUUUCCAAGAAGAAUCUUCCUCGUAAAUUCUUCAGAUCAAUUGAUUCAAUGAAUCACCAAGUUUGUUGUGUUCAUGAUGAACCUUGAACGAGUGAUGCUUUCAGAAUUAAGAUGCAAAUGUCUAAGUCUAAAGCUUCAUGUAUCGGAGCAUAAUCUCUAUGGAAUAGCCAGUCUUUUGCACACAUCGCCUCUUUUUGAGUCACUCAACAUACACAUGGAAACCCAAGUGUUUGAGCUAAGCUAUUUUGCCAAAGUGGAUAACAUCAGUUUGCCGAGUUGGAUCCCAAACACUGUGUUUUCGAACCUCAAGAAUGUUAAGAUUGUUGGCUGCCUAAGAGCAUGUUUGAAGGAUUGGUCUAAAUCGGGCUUUUGUAAGCUUUUCGAAAUUUCAAAGUUUCUACUAAAGAAUGCAGUGGCUUUGCAGAGGCUUUGCAGAAGCUUGUUAUCGUAGCAAAGAAGAGAAAAUGUUGUUAUUGUUCAGAGAGAUGUGUGUCCUGACAUUUAUCACAUUUGGCUAAGAAAUCGUCAGACACCCCAAGAUCAUCAAAAAAUUCUGUGAUUAUUUACCAAGAGUUUGCUUACGAUGACAAGACUAGAAAGAAAUGAUUUUUGUAUAGGAUAAGCUUUUUUCUAAAAAUUAGCUCCAUGAUGUAAACUAGUAUUAUAAUAUGAAUUUUCCAUUUAUUCUCUAGGUUGUACUUAGUGAAUUCGCACAUGCAGUUCAA